rnacentral:rRNA from 1 species
UACGAAGGGGGCUAGCGUUGUUCGGAAUUACUGGGCGUAAAGCGCGCGUAGGCGGAUAUUUAAGUCAGGGGUGAAAUCCCAGGGCUCAACCCUGGAACUGCCUUUGAUACUGGCGAUCUUGAGUUCGGGAGAGGUGAGUGGAACUGCGAGUGUAGAGGUGAAAUUCGUAGAUAUUCGCAAGAACACCAGUGGCGAAGGCGGCUCACUGGCCCGAUACUGACGCUGAGGUGCGAAAGCGUGGGGAGCGAACAGG